CCCUUAGAUGUUCUGGGCCGCACGCGCGCUACACUGAUGCAUUCAACGAGUCUAGAACCUGCUCUGAUAGGGGUGGGUAAUCUUUUGAAUGUGCAUCGUGAUUGGGAUAGAUGAUUGCAAUUUUUCAUCUUCAACGAGGAAUGCCUAGUAAACGCAAGUCAUCAGCUUGCAUUGAUUACGUCCCUGCCCUUCGUACACACCGCCCGUCGCUCCUACCGAUUGAAUGAUCCGAUGAAUAUCAUGGAUUGAGGAUGCAAGUAGGUUAGCCUAUCUUCAUCUUCGAGAAGUGAAGUAAAUCUUAUCAUUUAGAGGAAGGAGAAGUCGUAACA
rnacentral:rRNA from 1 species